UAAAUUGAGGUUUACUUUCAAGGUUUAUGUAUUGGCAUUAUUUUAGUCAAAUUUUCCUUAUGUGCACUAGGCACUAAUUACUAUCAAUAGGGUUUUGGUAAGUUGCUCUUCUAGAAUUGUGUCUUGUUGACAUGUUUUUGAUAUUUUCAGCUUCUUGGUUUGGGUUUUCUUGUUCCUCGUGUCCAUUUCCCUUCUGUAAUUGCACUGAGAGGAGGNACCAUAACUUGAACCUCCCAACAACCCUCCACCGGAUGCACCAUAAACAUCUGAAGGAUCAAUAAUGGGGGAAGAUGAGGAAGCUCCAUUCCUUCCUCCCCCAUCACCACCACCACUACUGCUCGCACCGCCCAAAUGCAAUUCGGAUAUAUUAGGGAACCCAUCUCUUCCUUCAACUCCUUGAUCAUAAAGAAACCCUUUAAACACAUGGCCACCGAUCUUUACCACAGCCUGAUACGCAUACUCAUCUUC
rnacentral:misc_RNA from 1 species